GUCCACGCCCUAAACGAUGGAUACUCGACAUACGCGAUAUACUGUGUGUGUCUGAGCGAAAGCAUUAAGUAUCCCACCUGGGAAGUACGAUCGCAAGAUUGAAACUCAAAGGAAUUGGCGGGGGUCCGCACAAGCGGUUGAGCAUGUGGUUUAAUUCGAUGAUACGCGAGGAACCUUACCUGGGCUAGAAUGCAUUUUGACCGUGGGUGAAAGCUCACUUUGUAGCAAUACACAAUUUGUAAGGUGCUGCAUGGCUGUCGU
rnacentral:rRNA from 1 species